CGUGCUGCUAAGUUUGGGGGGAGGGUGUUGCGGGGGCUUGCUUCGUCCUCUCCAGUUAUCAGCCCCUCAUUCGCUCCAUCACCUAAAGUGUUAAAAAAAAAAAAAAAGGCUCUUGGGUCCCACCGUAAGAGCGCAUAAAGAGAGGAGGUACAAUGACCGUCCUUUGCCAUUGUAGGGCUCCCUAAUUUAUGCGUUUUUAGACCCUUAAGCAUCAUUUUGUGGGCAACCAAACGGGCACUUCCAAAUUAGCUCAAAGUAUCCAAGCCCAGAGAAGAGAGAAAACACACAUACACUGAUAAAUACGCAGAUGCUAACUUGUAAGUAUUCUGUUUUUCCUCUGUGGGGAUGGAAAUUGAACAAGGGAAAGAGGGGGAACAUUUUUAUUUCCUAAAAUGUUUCCUACUGAGUUUGCACUUGUAAAGUUUUUUCUGCUUUCUUUCCCUUUGUGUGUGUUCUUACUCUCUUUCUCUCAGUAAAUAUCUCUGACUUAAGUUUAUUCUCCCAUCACUACCGUGAUCAAAAAGAAGAGAAAGACAAAAUAUCAAAACUUCCAAAUAUUUCUAGUUGUUCGCAACGGGUCUUUUUGUUGUUGUUGGAAAAAUAUAACCUGUUCAAGCGAUAUGAAAAUGGAUGCAGAAAUCAGGUCUUUUAUGAACUUGAAACACAUCGGCUAGGUCUUCAUCCUCACCUGCACUGGAAUUACCUACUUAAGAAAAACAAACUAAUGAUACACAAAGAAGCACUUAUGUACAAUAGAAGAGAAGUGUCAUCAACAUUGACAGUUCAAACGUAAAGAUCUUCUAAAUAGGGGUGAAAAAGAAAUCUUAAAGUUAUUUAUGGCUGCUCUCCUGCAUCUCUACAAGGUCUCGCUGUGUUGUCCAGGCUGGAAUGCAGCGG
rnacentral:lncRNA from 1 species